AUUGAACGCUGGCGGCAGGCCUAACACAUGCAAGUCGAGCGGUAACAGGAAGCAGCUUGCUGCUUUGCUGACGAGUGGCGGACGGGUGAGUAAUGUCUGGGAAACUGCCCGAUGGAGGGGGAUAACUACUGGAAACGGUAGCUAAUACCGCAUAACGUCGCAAGACCAAAGAGGGGGACCUUAGGGCCUCUUGCCAUCGGAUGUGCCCAGAUGGGAUUAGCUAGUAGGUGGGGUAACGGCUCACCUAGGCGACGAUCCCUAGCUGGUCUGAGAGGAUGACCAGCCACACUGGAACUGAGACACGGUCCAGACUCCUACGGGAGGCAGCAGUGGGGAAUAUUGCACAAUGGGCGCAAGCCUGAUGCAGCCAUGCCGCGUGUAUGAAGAAGGCCUACGGGUUGUAAAGUACUUUCAGCGGGGAGGAAGGGAGUAAAGUUAAUACCUUUGCUCAUUGACGUUACCCGCAGAAGAAGCACCGGCUAACUCCGUG
rnacentral:rRNA from 1 species